rnacentral:pre_miRNA from 1 species
CAACCUCCGUAGGCUGGCUGGUCCCCAGGCUGGGUUGGGCGAGUAUCUCUUCGAAAGGCUUACCCUCAAGCAUGACUAGGAGC